ensembl:lncRNA
AUGGCAGCAGUGUACAACAUGAGGGAGCAUCUAGGUGCAGUGAGAGUCCCUGCAGGGUCUGAGAGCUUUGAAGCACUGAUUUAUUAUUGUAUUAAUAAAGCCAAGAAAUCAACAGCCAACAAGAACAACAACUCCAGAUUCAAGAACAGGACAGAUGUGUCCACCUCUCAGACCCAGCAGCCGCAUGCAUCUCAGGCCUCUGAGCAAAGAGAACAUCUCAGCUCUCCCUCAAAGAAAAAGUGGAAAAGUACACUUAGAAAGUCCCCCUGUCUUCAUCUGUCCUCUCUGCUGCGUUGGCUACACCCCAGAGAAGACAGAAAAUCCCUCCUGGGCAGUAUGGACCCUGUCCCCUCAAACUAUAGUUCUCUGCUCUAA